UGAGGCUUAGCUCAGUGGUAGAGCGCUCGCUUUGCAUGCGAGAGGCGGGGGUUCGAUCCCUCCAACCUCCA
rfam:Onchocerca volvulus assembly O_volvulus_Cameroon_v3 genomic scaffold, OVOC_OM2